UACAGAGGGGGGCAAGCGUUGUUCGGAAUUACUGGGCGUAAAGGGCGCGUAGGCGGCCUGCUAAGUCGAACGUGAAAUCCCCGGGCUCAACCCGGGAACUGCGUCCGAUACUGGCAGGCUCGAAUCCGGGAGAGGGAUGUGGAAUUCCAGGUGUAGCGGUGAAAUUCGUAGAUAUUGGGAAGAACACCGGUGGCGAAGGCGGCGACCUGGUCCUUGACUGACGCUGAGGCGCGAAAGCGUGGGGAGCAAACAGG
rnacentral:rRNA from 1 species